UACAGAGGUCUCAAGCGUUGUUCGGAUUUACUGGGCGUAAAGGGCGCGUAGGCGGCCUCUGCAAGUCGACUGUGAAAUCUCCGGGCUUAACCCGGAAAGGUCAGCCGAUACUGCAGGGCUAGAGUGCAGAAGGGGCAACUGGAAUUCUCGGUGUAGCGGUGAAAUGCGUAGAUAUCGAGAGGAACACCUGCGGCGAAGGCGGGUUGCUGGGCUGACACUGACGCUGAAGCGCGAAAGCUAGGGGAGCAAACGGG
rnacentral:rRNA from 1 species